UUUUUUUUUUUGCCGUAGCUAAUGUGUAGCUAAUCCGUCGCUAAAACCCGUCCGUAGCUAAUCCGUAGCAGAUUCCGAAGCUGGGUCGUAGCAAAUCGGUAGCUAUUUUUUUUUUUUAAUUAAAAUCCAUCAUAUUUACCUGUUAUUGAAUACCCCUGACGUUAUCUACCUUCAUUCGACGAACAGAUAGAAAAGAAGCUGUGAAGCCGACCUAUUUCCCCUCUCGUUCGUCAAUCGCCGGCGGCCUCUUCGACGUCGACAUUGCCGUCGCCGACCGUCCCUCCCAACCCACCUUCUUCUCCGGCGCAUCUUCCCUCCUCUCUCUCGGCCUCUUUGCUCGAUUCUUCCCCAGAAAGGACAUCAUCUGAUGAAGGAACCUUAUACAACCAUGUUCAAUGAAACAGAGCUACUAACAAGAUAUAUUCGUGAAAUUCAAAGAACAGUACAAGUGGUUUAAGAGUUCUUCCGGUGAAAUGAAUAUUUCUAAAUGGAAAAAGAUGGAUUCCAAAUCCUUAGUGAUAAGCUGAAUAUUGGUCCCCUCAGCUCCCUGUACUCUUCUAAAGAUUCUCCAAACCCAAGGUUGAUAGGUUGCGUGCACAAGUUUCUACCAUGGAACAACAACAACAACAACAAAUGAAAGAACAAAUGGAAAUGGUAAUGAGGAUGAUGAAUAUGUCUUGAAAUCAACCCCGUGCUCCCCCCGAUAAUCCACCUGAGGACAAUUGAUAAGUAUUUUGGAACAAUUGAAUUUGUAAACAUUUGAUAUUGUUUGUUUUGUUAAGUAAUGCUUACUUUUGUAAGAUAUUUUGGAUAAUGGAAUGGAAUGUGUCAAACUUGGUAUUAGGGACGUUUUUUGGUGUAUUUUAUAUGGUAUUUGAGACAAAUGUGAAUUGAAUGUGGUAUUUGACAAAAAAUUGGAAAAUUUUAAAUUAAUUUUUUUUUUUUUAAAAUAAAACGAAGUUAGCUACGGAAUAGCUACGGAUUUCCGUAGCUAUUUACUUUCGUAGCUAUUCCGUAGCUAUUUGGAUCCGUAGCUAUUUAGUUCCGUAGCUAUUUGGAUCCGUAGCUAUUCCGUAGCUAUUUAGUUCCGUAGCUAUUUAGUUUCGUAGCUAUUCCGUAGGAAAUUUGUAGCUAUUUAUUUCUGUAGCUAUUCCGUAGCUAUAGUAGCUACGGAAAAUUCCGUAGCUAUUCCGCAGCGAUUCUGUAGCUAAUCCGUAGCUAUAAUUUAGCCACGGGCCAUUAUGCUACAGCAAAUUUUCCGUAGCAAUUCCGUAGCUAUCCGCUUAUAGCUACGGAUUGUGCUGGAGCUAUUGCACCAAUUUUCUAGUAGUGAUUACAAAUGUUGCUGGCACACAUGGGUAUUGUGAUCCUGUGUAUAUAAAUACAGGUAUCCUCACAAAGGAGUCGGAUGUUUAUUCAUUUGGCGUGGUGUUGUUUGAAGUCUUGUGUGGGAGGUCGUGCUUCAUGAAUGUAAAUGAUGAACGGCGAUUCCUAGCCAAACUAGCUCUGAGCUGCUACAAAAAAGGAAAUUUAAAUGAUAUAAUUGAUAUUGAUUUGAAGAAACAGAUGAACUCCGAUUCCUUGAAUAUGUUCUCAGAGAUUGCAUAUCUGUGCUUACAGGAUGAUCCAAAACAACGACCCUCAAUGGGUUGGGUUGUAGAGAAACUUGAGAAAGCUUUGCAAUUGCAAGAACCUGUGGAACGUUCAAUUGUGGAAACAUCCGCAACAAAUGUAUGUUCAAUGUUUUUGAAAUUCAAGCAGUUCCUUCAUGUCCAUGAGUGCAAAAGUAGAACUACACAUUUCUCAUUACAGUUAUUCAGGAAACCUGAAAUGAAUACUAAUUUGUAAAUCCAUUUCAUGCAUGAUUCCUAAAUAUUUGUAAUCCUAACUCACUCAAAUCUAAAACUUCUUUUUGUUAUAAACUAAAUCAAUUGUUAACGGUAAUAAUUACACUUUAUAAUAAGCAUGAAAUUCAAACAAAAAUAAAUAAUAAAUAAAUAAAAGACACACACAACUCAUUAUGAUCAUUCAAUU